GGCAAGCAGCUCGACAGCUCUGCACUGCUGAGUGGAGGAAAUAACAAGAAAAGAACAAGAGGCUGUUUAUUGACAGUUCCCUGAGGCUGGGACAGAUGGGAACCGAGAAAAGAUUACAGAAUUGGGGCAGCUGGAAUGCAGCUCCCGACACACCUGGGCGGCUCUGCUCAGCUGCUCGGUGAUGGCUUCGGACAGCUUCCUUCAAACAAGCAGCAAACCACACGGAAAGGUGCCUGGAAUGACCAGGAGUCAAGUUCUUUAGAGGAAGCUGUUGUGUUGUGACCUCCCACUGGACUCGAUUUAAAAGAAAAAGGAAUGGAGAAAAAGCCACUGACAGUUCCAGUGUCAGUGCUGGAGAGCCCUCCAUCUACUGGGUGUCCCUGGAGAGUCCACGGCUUCUGUGACGGGGACAACUGGUUCUCUAGAGAUGGAUGCAGAACCCAAGAAUGCGGCUCACUGCAUGAAGAGGGCCUCCUGUCCACCAGCUCAGCCACUCGCAGGGCUCAAAGCUUUGCUUGGGAGAGAAAGUGUGUCUCUGUGGAAAUACAUAGCGGGGCGCCAAAGCAAUCUCACCAUUGUGGAGUCGAAAGCACUCAGGAUGACAUCUGAAUCUCUGCUGCUGACCGCGUUUCCCUAAGAUUCCCUGGCAAAACCAUGUGGAUGAGAGCAUGACCAUUAGAAAAAGGUCAUUUUAAACCUCUGUUUUUUUUUUUUUCAA